UAAGAUUUUUUCCAGCAAAUUAGGGAUUUUCCAAUUUUAAUUAUCUCAGUCCGUCAGUCGUCGACAACCUUCGCUCAGGCUACAAAGGUGCAUAUUAUUUUUUAUAUAUUUUUUCCUUUAGUCAGACGAGUUGGCCAUGAAUUGAGAUUUGAAGCUCUAUGCAUUUAGCUCUGAAAUUUUGGGUGAAAAAGUAGUGCAGGCCUUUCCCAGUGGGUGUUGGAUAGCAAACAGUCCAUGUCAUGCUCAUCUUAAACUAAAUCAGCUGGCACACUCAUUUGCCUCUAAAGUUGAAACGAAUGCGUAGUCAAACAGAUAAAGAAGAGCACGGAGAAAUUGUUGCCUUAUGCUGGAGUAUUUGGCAAUCUAGAAACAACUUGGUUUGGAAUCAGAAAAAGUGUGAAGUGAAUUUUGUAGUUUUCUCGACAAAGCAGUAUCUUGCAGAAUGGAAAAACACUCAAGUAAUGUCAACACAGGCUCUUUACCAGGAUGUGAAACAUGGUGAUGGAGCAAUUUCCUGGGUGAGACCUAAAAAAGAUGUGGUCAAGAUAACCAUCGACGCUGCGUUAUUUGCUGAAAGCUCUAAGUAUGGCAUUGGGUUAUUAGCUCGGGAUGAUAAAGGAGACGUGAUUCAAGGCCGAUCAGAGGUGUUUCAAGGAGUAGUGCUUCAAGAAUUUGCAGAGGCCAUUGCAGUAAAGGAAGCUCUAAGUUGGGUAAAGGGAAGAGAAUGGAGGGAGGUAGUAGUUGAAUCAGACUGUUUGGCUGUGGUACAAGCUAUCAGGAGUAAUGUCGACAUGAGGUCUCCUUUUGGCAGCUUAAUUAUGGAGUGUCGUUUGAUGAUUUCUGAACUAAACAUAGAUUUAUGUUUUAUUAGACGAUCUGCUAACAUGGCAGCUCACUGUAUCGUGAGAGAGUCAUGUUCUUUUCCAGGUCGAGUAUUCGAUAGGAGGUCUGUUCCCGUUGAAUUGGAGUCUAUUUUGUUGGCUGAUUUGUUUGAGUAAUAUUUUCCUUUUCUGUCAAAAAAAAAGGUUGGUGUAUCGGUUAUUAAAUAAAUAUUUAAUUAAGUACUUAUGCUCACAAGUCAUAAUGGUCUUUUUCUGAGCAGGUAAAUGGAGCAACCUCCUAAGAGAAGAUGCAGCCUAAUAUUGUUGUUACAGGGGAUAUUCUUGAACAACGGAGACUGGCUAAACAAUGUAGCAACAUUGCACGUAGAAUAGGCAAUUUUCCCUCUGUAUACACUAUAUCAACCGGUCCAUCCGGCACAGCUCCACAGACUGCUCUAUACCAGGUAUUUUAACAUCUAUUUUUUUAGUAUUGGAAAGCAUCGGUGGUUAAUCUUUUGCCGCCUUAUAAAUCUACCAAGCCUUAGGAAUAGCUGAGGUGAUUUCUUUCAGCAAACUUGAGGUGAUUUCUUUCAGCAAACUUAGGGAACUGGUGAUUAUUUUUCAUUGUUGAUUGAAGCUUUGGGUAAGAAUUAUUUUAUUUUCAGUACUUCGUAAUAUCUGUCUCGAGUGAAAUGCUGGGGCUUGGAGGUAAGAACUGUCAGUCACGCUAAUUAGAAUUUUCAAUUAUGGAAGGGGCAACAGGCUUGGCAAAAAUAAGGAAAUAAGGAGUUGAUGUACUUAAGGUUUAGUCGAGAAAUGGACAGUUCAAUUGAAAGAAUAACUUAUAGAUGAUAACUGAUUUUUUAAAAUUAUGCAGUUCCUGAUUUUCGUGGAGACCCAAUCUGUGUAGAGAAAGUUGAAAAAUCCGGAUUAGAGGUCUUAGCUCAUAAUAUUGACACAAUUGAAGAGCUACAAAAUGCGGUCCGAGACCACCGUGCUACUUUUAAGAAAUCUAUUGAUGUUCUAAUAAAAGCCAAAGAAUAUGCUCCGGCUGGGACCCUGACUAAAGCAUCAGUGAUGUUGGGAUGUGGUGAAACACCAGAACAAGUAGUGAGAACCAAGAAGAGGGAAGCAGGCGUUGAUGUGAUAUUUAGUUAUUGCCCAAGUUUUUUGAAUUCCACAAAAUUUACUCUUAGCGUCUGUUGCUGCAUUUGAUCUUGCUCGAAUUCUUUCAGGGAUUCUGCUAUGUGGCAUCUGGACCAAUGGUCCGGUCAUCGUACAAGGCUGGUGAAUAUUACAUCAAGUCCAUGAUAGAAGUAGAUCGAGCUGCAUCAUCAUCAUCAAUUCAUCAUAGUGGUUAGUCAGAAAAGGAUCAAUUAAUCCAGUGCUAAUAUGUCUUUCAUAAAGAAUAAUCAUUGCUUAGUUGUGCACGUGGUCGAGAUACAUGUCAUAUGUUUUGGUGGCACUAAAUGGCAGUUUGUACCUUACCAAUACAAAAUUUAGAAUCGGUACGUAUAUGUUAAAUUCAAUAUGAAUUAUAUGUAAUUUAAGAUGAUGCUAAAUCAUAAAAGAGGUGAAAUUGUAAGAAACAAUUUCAUUUGCAAUCAGGUAACCUGUUGGAAAUAUAUGAAUCAGGGGAUGUUGCUUAUGCUUAUUGGUUUA